rnacentral:rRNA from 1 species
UCACGGGUAGAUCUCCACCCUUGAAUAACAUACCUUUGUUGCUUUGGCAGGACGCACUCGUGCCGGGGGCUUCGGCUCUUGAGUGCCUGCCAGAGGACCACAACUCUUGUUUUUAGUGAUGUCUGAGUACUAUAUAAUAGUUAAAACUUUCAACAACGGAUCUCUUGGUUCUGGCAUCGAUGAAGAACGCAGCGAAAUGCGAUAAGUAAUGUGAAUUGCAGAAUUCAGUGAAUCAUCGAAUCUUUGAACGCACAUUGCGCCCUUUGGUAUUCCGAAGGGCAUGCCUGUUCGAGCGUCAUUACAACCACUCAAGCUCAUGCUUGGUAUUGGGGUUCGCACAUCAGCGGCCCCUAAAAUCAGUGGCGGUGCUCUUAAGCUCUACGCGUAGUAAUUUUCUCGCUAUAGAUCUUAAGGGUAUCUUGCCAGCAACCCCCAAUUUUUAUCAGGUUGACCUCGAAUCAGGUAGGGAUACCCGCUGAACUUAAGCAUAUCAAUAAGCGGAGGAAAAGAAACCAACAGGGAUUACCUCAGUAACGGCGAGUGAAGCGGUAACAGCUCAAAUUUGAAAUCUGGCUCUUUCAGGGUCCGAGUUGUAAUUUGUAGAAGAUGCUUCGAGUAUAGCUCUGGUCUAAGUUCCUUGGAACAGGACGUCAUAGAGGGUGAGAAUCCCGUAUGUGACUAGGCGCUUUUGCUCAUGUGAAGCUCUUUCGGCGAGUCGAGUUGUUUGGGAAUGCAGCUCAAAAUGGGUGGUAAAUUUCAUCUAAAGCUAAAUAUUGGCCAGAGACCGAUAGCGCACAAGUAGAGUGAUCGAAAGAUGAAAAGCACUUUGGAAAGAGAGUUAAACAGUACGUGAAAUUGUUG